AUUGAACGCUGGCGGCAUGCUUUACACAUGCAAGUCGAACGGCAACGCGGAGAAGCUUGCUUCUCUGUCGGCGAGUGGCGAACGGGUGAGUAUAGCAUCGGAACGUGCCAAGUAGUGGGGGAUAACCAAACGAAAGUUUGGCUAAUACCGCGUAAGCUCCACGGAGGAAAGUAGGGGACCUAAAUAAGGCCUUACGCUAUUUGAUCGGCCGAUGUCGGAUUAGCUAGUUGGUGGGGUAAUGGCUCACCAAGGCAAUGAUCCGUAGCGGGUCUGAGAGGACGAUCCGCCACACUGGGAGUGAGACACGGCCCAGACUCCUACGGGAGGCAGCAGUGGGGAAUUGUGGACAAUGGGGGAAACCCUGAUCCAGCCAUGCCGCGUGUAUGAAGAAGGCCUUAGGGUUGUAAAGUACUUUUGUUAGGGAAGAAAAGCUAGUUUUUAAUAAAAAUUAGUGAUGACGGUACCUAAAGAAUAAGCACCGGCUAACUACGUG
rnacentral:rRNA from 1 species